GGGUAUAUCUGGUAGGAGAGCAUUCUAUUUGCGCCGAAGCAGUAUCGUGAGGUAUUGUGGAGCGGAUAGAAAAGAAAAUGUAGGCAUAAGUAACGAUAAAGCGGGCGAGAAACCCGCUCACCGAAAGACCAAGGCUUCCUCAGCCAUGCUAAUCAGCUGAGGGUUAGUCGGGACCUAACGCGAACCCGAAAGGGGUAGUGGAUGGACAAUGGGUUAAUAUUCCCAUACUUGCUCACACUAAAAAGGGGACGGAGUGCCGUACUUACUGGAGACUGACGGAAUAGUCAAGGCCUAGCCUUCGGGCGAAGCUGCUGUAGGGAAAGUGCUUCCAAGAAAAGCCGAAGUGAAGCAACCCGUACCAAAACCGACACAGGUGGUCGAGGAGAGAAUCCUAAGGUGCUAGAGUGAAUCAUGGUUAAGGAACUAGGCAAAAUAGUCUCGUAACUUCGGGAGAAGAGACGCCAUCAGCAAUGGUGGCCGCAGUAAAGAGGCCCAGGCGACUGUUUAUCAAAAACACAGGACUCUGCAAAAUCGAAAGAUGCAGUAUAGGGUCUGACACCUGCCCGGUGCUGGAAGGUUAAGGAAGGUGCUUAGGGUUAAACCGAAGGCAUUAACUGAAGCCCCAGUAAACGGCGGCCGUAACUAUAACGGUCCUAAGGUAGCGAAAUUCCUUGUCGGGUAAGUUCCGACCUGCACGAAUGGUGUAACGAUCUGGGCACUGUCUCAACCAUGAGCUCUGUGAAAUUGUAGUCUCGGUGAAGAUGCCGAGUACCCGCAAUGGGACGAAAAGACCCUGUGAACCUUUACUAUAACUUCGUAUUGACUUUGAGUAAGUAAUGUGUAGGAUAGGUGGGAGGCUUUGAAGCAGGCACGCUAGUGUUUGUGGAGCCAACGUUGAAAUACCACCCUUUACUUACUUGGAGCCUAACUUCUGAAUAGAAGGACAUUGCGUGGUGGGUAGUUUGACUGGGGUGGUCGCCUCCAAAAGAGUAACGGAGGCUUUCAAAGGUACCCUCAGCACGCUUGGUAACCGUGCGUAGAGUGUAAUGGCAUAAGGGUGCUUGACUGUGAGACCAACAAGUCGAUCAGGUGCGAAAGCAGGACAUAGUGAUCCGGUGGUUCCGUAUGGAAGGGCCAUCGCUCAUAGGAUAAAAGGUACUCCGGGGAUAACAGGCUAGUCUCCCCCAAGAGCUCACAUCGACGGGGAGGUUCGGCACCUCGAUGUCGGCUCGUCACAUCCUGGGGCUGGAGAAGGUCCCAAGGG
rnacentral:rRNA from 1 species